CCCCAGCGCCGCCCUGCGCGGAGCCCGACUGCCGUCGACGCCAUGCGUGCGCUGCUGCCGCUCCUGCGCACCGGCUGGGCCUGGCGCGCGGGGUCCCCCGCAGCCGCCCGCUUGCCCCGGGGAAAGAGUGCAGGGCCGGGGCCGCACCGCGCCAUGGCCUUCUACCGCACGGAGGAGCGCGGCCAGCCCUACUCCCCCGAUUACCGCCUCUUCUUCAAGAAUGUAGCUGGUCACUACAUUUCCCCCUUUCAUGAUAUUCCUCUGAAGGUGGACUCAACAGAGGAAAAUGGCAUUCCUACAAAGAGAGCACGAAAUGAUGAAUAUGAGAAUUUGUUUAAUAUGGUUGUAGAGGUACCUCGGUGGACAAAUGCUAAAAUGGAGAUUGCCACGAAGGAGCCGUUGAAUCCCAUUAAACAAGAUACGAAGGAUGGCAAGCUACGCUUUGUGGCGAAUAUCUUUCCUCACAAGGGUUAUAUCUGGAAUUAUGGUGCCCUCCCACAGACUUGGGAAGAUCCCCAUCAAAAAGAUAAGAGCACAGACUGCUGUGGAGAUAAUGAUCCUGUUGAUAUUUGUGAAAUAGGCUCAAAGGUUCUUUCUUGUGGAGAGGUUAUUCAUGUGAAGAUCCUUGGAAUUUUGGCUCUUAUUGAUCAGGGGGAAACAGAUUGGAAAAUAAUUGCUAUCAAUGUGAAUGAUCCUGAAGCCUCAAAGUUUCAGGAUAUUGAUGAUGUUAAGAAAUACAAACCAGGUUACUUGGAAGCUACGCUUAAUUGGUUUAGAUUUUAUAAGGUGCCAGAAGGAAAACCAGAAAACCAGUUUGCUUUUAAUGGAGAAUUCAAGAACAAGGCUUUUGCUCUUGAAGUUAUUAAAUCUACUCAUGAAUGUUGGAAAACAUUGCUUAUGAAGAAGUGUGAUGGAGGGGCUAUAAAUUGCACAAACGUGCAGGUAUGUGACAGCCCUUUCCAUUGCACUCAAGAGGAAGCAAGAUCAAUAGUUGAACUGCAUUCUCAGUAGUUCCCAUGGGUUAAUGAGAAAAAUAUUUUCAAGCAUGCUUUUUUUAUUUGACUCUACAUCUGUGGUUUGUUUAUCCAAAAGAAGAAGCAAUGAUAAUUAGAGGCAAAGAGGAAUACUUAACUUUUCUCAGGUGUCAUCAUCAUCAAAUAAGGGAAGAAGUAAAGAAGAAGAGCAAGUGUGGCACUUCCUUGGCAAGUGAUUCGAACAUUUGAAGUUCUGCCAUCAAGAUUCCAAUCUCCAAGGAUUCCGCGACCCCCUCUCCCCCCAAGUGCUAGCAACAGGCAGAUCUAUGAGAAUUGACUGACUUCCUGUUGAAACUUUUUUCCCCCAGCCUUUUUUGAGAUAUACAAUAUGUAAAUAAAGACUGAUAUUUUUAAGUUA